rnacentral:rRNA from 1 species
AGUGAACGCUGGCGGUAGGCCUAACACAUGCCAGUCGAACGGCAGCACAGUAAGAGCUUGCUCUUACAGGUGGCGAGUGGCGGACGGGUGAGGAAUACAUCGGAAUCUACUUUUUCGUGGGGGAUAACGUAGGGAAACUUACGCUAAUACCGCAUACGACCUACGGGUGAAAGCAGGGGAUCUUCGGACCUUGCGCGAUUGAAUGAGCCGAUGUCGGAUUAGCUAGUUGGCGGGGUAAAGGCCCACCAAGGCGACGAUCCGUAGCUGGUCUGAGAGGAUGAUCAGCCACACUGGAACUGAGACACGGUCCAGACUCCUACGGGAGGCAGCAGUGGGGAAUAUUGGACAAUGGGCGCAAGCCUGAUCCAGCCAUACUGCGUGGGUGAAGAAGGCCUUCGGGUUGUAAAGCCCUUUUGUUGGGAAAGAAAAGCAGCAGGUUAAUACCCCGCUGUUCUGACGGUACCCAAAGAAUAAGCACCGGCUAACUUCGUG